GCCCCCGUAGCCCAACCGGCAGAGGCGAGCCACUUAAAAUGGCCCAAGUGCGGGUUCGAGUCCCGUCGGGGGUACC
rnacentral:tRNA from 1 species